rnacentral:rRNA from 1 species
GAUGAACGCUGGCGGCGUGCCUAAUACAUGCAAGUCGAGCGAACAGACGAGGAGCUUGCUCCUCUGACGUUAGCGGCGGACGGGUGAGUAACACGUGGAUAACCUACCUAUAAGACUGGGAUAACUUCGGGAAACCGGAGCUAAUACCGGAUAAUAUAUUGAACCGCAUGGUUCAAUAGUGAAAGACGGUUUUGCUGUCACUUAUAGAUGGAUCCCCGCCGCAUUAGCUAGUUGGGAAGGUAACGGCUUACCAAGGCGACGAUGCGUAGCCGACCUGCGGGGGUGAUCGGCCACACUGGAACUGAGACACGGUCCAGACUCCUACGUGAGGCAGCAGUAGGGAAUCUUCCGCAAUGGGCGAAAGCCUGACGGAGCAACGCCGCGUGAGUGAUGAAGGUCUUCGGAUCGUAAAACUCUGUUAUUAGGGAAGAUCAAAUGUGUAAGUAACUAUGCACGUCUUGACGGUACCUAAUCAGAAAGCCACGGCUAACUACGUG